rnacentral:rRNA from 1 species
GACGAACCGUACGAACGUUAUUCGGAAUCACUGGGCUUAAAGGGUGCGUAGGCUGCGCAGCAAGUUGGGUGUGAAAUCCCUCGGCUUAACCGAGGAACUGCGCCCAAAACUGCUGUGCUCGAGGGAGAUAGAGGUGAGCGGAACUUAGGGUGGAGCGGUGAAAUGCGUUGAUAUCGGAAGGAACACCAGUGGCGAAAGCGGCUUCCUGGUCCGACACCGACGUUCAGGCACGAAAGCGUGGGGAGCAAACAGG